rnacentral:rRNA from 2 species
CUGCGGCCUAUCAGCUUGUUGGUGAGGUAAAGGCCCACCAAGGCUAUUACAGGUACGGGCUCUGAGAGGAGAAGCCCGGAGAUGGGUACUGAGACACGGACCCAGGCCCUAUGGGGCGCAGCAGGCGAGAAAACUUUGCAAUGUGCGAAAGCACGACAAGGUUAAUCCGAGUGAUUUCUGCUAAAGAAAUCUUUUGCCAGUUCUAAAAAUACUGGUGAAUAAGGGGUGGGCAAGUUCUGGUGUCAGCCGCCGCGGUAAAACCAGCACCUCAAGUUGUCAGGAGGAUUAUUGGGCCUAAAGCAUCCGUAGCCGGCUCUGUUAGUUUUCGGUUAAAUCCAUAUGCUCAACAUAUGGGCUGUCGGAAAUACUGCAGAGCUAGGGAAUGGGAGAGGUAGACGGUACUCGGUAGGAAGGGGUAAAAUCCUUUGAUCUAUCGAUGACCACCUGUGGCGAAGGCGGUCUACCAGAACAUGU